CCUACGGGACGCAGCAGUGGGGGAUAUUGCACAAUGGGGGGAACCCUGAUGCAGCGACGCCGCGUGGGCGAUGGAGUGCUUCGGCAUGUAAAGCCCUAUCAGCAGGGAAGAAAAUGACGGUACCUGACUAAGAAGCCCCGGCUAACUACGUGCCAGCAGCCGCGGUAAUACGUAGGGGGCAAGCGUUAUCCGGAUUUACUGGGUGUAAAGGGAGCGUAGACGGCAGAGCAAGUCCGGAGUGAAAGCCCGGGGCCCAACCCCGGGACUGCUCUGGAAACUGUUAAGCUAGAGUGCGGGAGGGGCAG
rnacentral:rRNA from 1 species